rnacentral:tRNA from 1 species
GCUCGGGUGGCUCAGUCGGUUGAGCGUCUGACUUCAGCUCAGGUCGUGAUCUCGCGGUUUGUGGGUUCGAGCCCCGUGUCCCGCU